rnacentral:miRNA from 10 species
ACUCUGUAGACGAGGGUUUUUGU